GCUCGGGUGGUGGAAUGGCAGACACGCAUGUUUGAGGGGCAUGUGGCGCAAGCCGUGCAGGUUCAAGUCCUGUCCCGAGCACCA
rnacentral:tRNA from 2 species